UCGGACUCCCGGCCCUUAGUUGGUGGUAUAGCCAGAUGUAUGUCCGAGAGCAAUCCCUGCCAGGCUUCUAGGAACCAGCCAGACGGGUCUGUGGGGGAAGGAACCCGGAGGGCAGCCAAAGGACUGCAAAAGCAGAGAGAGGCAGGAGGUGUGGGGAGGUGAAAGGCUACGUUGCCAGGAUGGUUGACAGGCUUUGGCAGAGGAUGAAUUGAAAAGAUCCUGGCAGAGAGCUGGUGGUAAAAACUAGGUAAAGCAUUAGUCAUUUAAUUCAAACUUGGGUUUUCGGCAUGUCAAAGAAGUUUAAAGCUUUCUUGCGGAGGCUCACAGCCUAAGCUCAAUCUCCUAGGGCCAAUGAAAAACUGGUGUCCAUAAUUUUCAGAUGAUAACAACGUUCACAUUGCUACGCCUGCGGUUCCACGGGAGAAUUGUUGCUCUGAAGUGCCUGGAGAAGGCCUGUAAUACAUCGCAGGAAUAUAUUCCUGGGUAGGAAUCCAGGUGCCAGAGAGAACUUUUCAAAAGCCUGUGGAAGCUGCAUACCUGCUUGAACAUGGCCAUUCCAGCCCCGUCAAAAGUGAAGCCCAAUCACAGCUACGGUCAUAAAACCCUCCUGUGAGAAGUGCCCUGGGUGGAAAAGAGCAUCCUUAUCUGUGAAGUUUACAAAGGGCAACCAAGAAGAAUCCUAACAGGCCUUGCUAAAUUUCUCCCAAUUUAGAACAAUUACCUCAUACUCCUUAACUUAGGAUGUUCCUCUACAACUGUUCACCCUUUAUCAAACCUAGCACAACAGCACACUGGUCUAUUUCUUUGAGUCUUCAUUUUCUUAUGAAGGCUCCCAAGUUACAUCAAAUUUAUAUUAAAUAAAUUUUGAUGAAAUAAAUUCGUAGGUCCAAGAUGGAGUCUCUUCUGCCCAGGAAGCUGGGCCAGUAAAUUGAAAUUUAGAUAAAUUUCAUGUCCCUGCAAAUGCUUCACCAGGCCACAAACUCAAUAUAUCCAAUCAGCCAAUCCCCAAACACCAAGCCAAACCUGAGCUCUUUACAUAUUUCCUUGUUCUUUAUUGUUUAUCCUAUAAACGCUUCCUGCCUUCUGCUCCAGUUUGCAGUUCUCUGAAUGAAAACUGUCCACUACUUAAGGUGUUAAAUAAAAUUUGUUUAUGUCA